rnacentral:rRNA from 1 species
CAAUAGCGUGUAUUAAAGUUGUUGCAGUUAAAAAGCUCGUAGUUGGAUUUCUGUCCAAGACGACCGGUCCGCCUUCUGGUGUGCACCAGGUCUGUGUUGGGCAUUGUCCUGUAUGACUCACGGCUCUUCACUGAGUUGUGACGAGUGCAGGAGCUUUACUUUGAGAAAAUUAGAGUGCUUCAAGCAAGCGAUUGCUUUGAAUACUGCAGCAUGGAAUAAUACGAUAGGACUUCGGUUCUAUGUGUUGGUUUCUAGUGCCGGAGUAAUGAUUAACAGGGACAGUUGGGGGCACUCGUAUUUAACUGUCAGAGGUGAAAUUCUUGGAUUUGUUAAAGACGAACUACUGCGAAAGCAUUUGCCAAGGGUGUUUUCAUUAA